UACGAAGGGGGCUAGCGUUGUUCGGAAUUACUGGGCGUAAAGCGUGCGCAGGCGGCCAUCCAAGUCAGUGGUGAAAGCCCGGAGCUCAACUCCGGAAUUGCCAUUGAAACUGUUUGGCUCGAGUACGAGAGAGGUGAGUGGAAUUCCCAGUGUAGAGGUGAAAUUCGUAGAUAUUCGCAAGAACACCAGUGGCGAAGGCGGCUCACUGGCCCGAUACUGACGCUGAGGCACGAAAGCGUGGGGAGCAAACAGG
rnacentral:rRNA from 1 species